AUGCCAUGAUGUGGACACUUAACUAGCAUCCAUUUGAACCUCCCCUACGUUUCUUGUAGUGUUUCAACUGGUUUCUGCUUGAAGCUCAAUAUCUCAUGCUUGGCAGUCU
rnacentral:snoRNA from 1 species